AGCAAAAUGCGAUAAGUGGUGUGAAUUGCAGAAUCCCGUGAACCAUCGAGUCUUUGAACGCAAGUUGCGCCCGAUGCCAUCAGGCUAAGGGCACGCCUGCCUGGGCGUCGUGUGCUGCGUCUCUCAUGUCAAUGCUUUCAUGUCAUAUAGAUAGGUUUGCAUUGCGU
rnacentral:rRNA from 1 species